AGUGAACGCUGGCGGUAGGCCUAACACAUGCAAGUCGAACGGCAGCACAGUAAGAGCUUGCUCUUACGGGUGGCGAGUGGCGGACGGGUGAGGAAUACAUCGGAAUCUACUUUUUCGUGGGGGAUAACGUAGGGAAACUUACGCUAAUACCGCAUACGACCUACGGGUGAAAGCAGGGGAUCUUCGGACUUUGCGCGAUUGAAUGAGCCGAUGUCGGAUUAGCUAGUUGGCGGGGUAAAGGCCCACCAAGGCGACGAUCCGUAGCUGGUCUGAGAGGAUGAUCAGCCACACUGGAACUGAGACACGGUACAGACUCCUACGGGAGGCAGCAGUGGGGAAUAUUGGACAAUGGGCGCAAGCCUGAUCCAGCCAUACCGCGUGGGUGAAGAAGGCCUUCGGGUUGUAAAGCCCUUUUGUUGGGAAAGAAAAGCAGCAGGUUAAUACCCCGCUGUUCUGACGGUACCCAAAGAAUAAGCACCGGCUAACUUCGUG
rnacentral:rRNA from 1 species